GACGAACGCUGGCGGCGUGCUUAACACAUGCAAGUCGAACGGAAAGGCCCUGCUUUUGUGGGGUGCUCGAGUGGCGAACGGGUGAGUAACACGUGAGUAACCUGCCCUUGACUUUGGGAUAACUUCAGGAAACUGGGGCUAAUACCGGAUAUGAGCUCCUGCUGCAUGUUGUGGGUUGGAAAGUUUCGGCGGUUGUGGAUGGACUCGCGGCUUAUCAGCUUGUUGGUGGGGUAGUGGCUUACCAAGGCUUUGACGGGUAGCCGGCCUGAGAGGGUGACCGGCCACAUUGGGACUGAGAUACGGCCCAGACUCCUACGGGAGGCAGCAGUGGGGAAUAUUGCACAAUGGGCGGAAGCCUGAUGCAGCAACGCCGCGUGCGGGAUGACGGCCUUCGGGUUGUAAACCGCUUUCGCCUGUGACGAAGCGUGAGUGACGGUAAUGGGUAAAGAAGCACCGGCUAACUACGUG
rnacentral:rRNA from 1 species